rnacentral:rRNA from 1 species
GAUGAGUUCGCGGCUGAUUAGCUUGUUGGCGGGGUAAUGGCCCACCAAGGCGACGAUCAGUAGCCGGCCUGAGAGGGUGAACGGCCACAUUGGGACUGAGAUACGGCCCAGACUCCUACGGGAGGCAGCAGUUAAGAAUCUUGCGCAAUGGGGGCAACCCUGACGCAGCGACGCCGCGUGGAUGAUGAAGGCCUUCGGGUUGUAAAGUCCAGUAAGCAGGGAAGAAUAAGCGCCGGGUAAUAUUCGGUGUGAUGACGGUACCUGCCUAAAGCCCCGGCUAACUACGUGCCAGCAGCCGCGGUAAUACGUAUGGGGCAAGCGUUGUUCGGAAUUAUUGGGCGUAAAGGGCGUCUAGGCGGGGGAUUAAGUUAGAUGUGAAAGCCAUGGGCUCAACCCAUGAACUGCAUCUAAGACUGGUUCUCUUGAGUUCGGGAGAGGAGAGCGGAAUUCCAGGUGUAGCGGUGAAAUGCGUAGAUAUCUGGAAGAACACCAGUGGCGAGGGCGGCUCUCUGGCCUAGAACUGACGCUGAAGCGCGAAAGCGUGGGGAGCGAACAGGAUUAGAUACCCUGGUAGUCCACGCUGUAAA